AUUGAACGCUGGCGGCAUGCUUUACACAUGCAAGUCGAACGGUAACAGGCCGCAAGGUGCUGACGAGUGGCGAACGGGUGGGUAAUGCAUCGGAACGUGCCCAGCCGCGGGGGAUAACUACUCGAAAGAGUAGCUAAUACCGCAUACGAUCUAUGGAUGAAAGCGGGGGACCGUAAGGCCUCGCGCGAUUGGAGCGGCCGAUGUCAGAUUAGGUAGUUGGUGGGGUAAAGGCUCACCAAGCCAACGAUCUGUAGCUGGUCUGAGAGGACGACCAGCCACACUGGGACUGAGACACGGCCCAGACUCCUACGGGAGGCAGCAGUGGGGAAUUUUGGACAAUGGGCGCAAGCCUGAUCCAGCAAUGCCGCGUGCAGGAAGAAGGCCUUCGGGUUGUAAACUGCUUUUGUACGGAACGAAACGGCUCUGGUUAAUACCCGGGGCUAAUGACGGUACCGUAAGAAUAAGCACCGGCUAACUACGUG
rnacentral:rRNA from 1 species